rnacentral:rRNA from 1 species
CAAUAGCGUAUAUUAAAGUUGUUGCAGUUAAAAAGCUCGUAGUUGGAUUUCUGCUGAUCGCUGUCGGUCUGCCGUCAGGUGUGUACUGGCAGUGUUUGGCAUCUAUUCGAGAUUGGGUGUCCACUUGAUUGUGUGCACUCGAUGUCGGAGCUAAUACUUUGAGAAAAUUAGAGUGUUCCACGCAGGCGCGUGCCUUGAAUACUGCAGCAUGGGAUAUUGGAAGGCCGAUUGAGCUUUCUUGUUGGUUCUCGGUUUGAUCGGAAUGAUUAAUAGGGAUAGUUGGGGGCAUUCGUAUUCAACUGUCAGAGGUGAAAUUCUUGGAUUUGUCGAAGACGGACUACUGCGAAAGCAUCUGCCAUGGAUGUUCUCAUUGA